rnacentral:rRNA from 1 species
UACAGAGGGGGCAAGCGUUGUCCGGACUUACUGGGCGUAAAGAGCGCGCAGGCGGUCGGAUAAGUCGAAUGUGAAAGCCCCCGGCUCAACUGGGGAGGGUCAUUCGAUACUGUUCGACUCGAAGGCAGGAGAGGGAAGUGGAAUUCCCGGUGUAGUGGUGAAAUGCGUAGAUAUCGGGAGGAACACCAGUGGCGAAGGCGACUUCCUGGCCUGUUCUUGACGCUGAGGCGCGAAAGCUAGGGGAGCAAACGGG